CUUCGGAAUGGCUAAUUGACCGCCCCAAUUAAGUUUUUUUUCUUCAUAUUUUUCCAGGUGAGCAAACCAUUGAAAGACAGUGUUCAGGAUAUGUUGGUGAAACAUCAUCUAUUCAGCUGGGAUUUAUAGUCCAUGCAGUAUCCUUCAUAAAUCAUGCAUUCACUACAUAACAACAUUCACUAUAUAUGUAUAUUCAGUCUAUUUGAUGCUGUCCUAGAUAGCACGAAUAAUUCAGCGAAUAGACUGAACUACUUUGUUUGCACUCUUAACUCAAAUGGUCUCGUCUUCAUGUGGCUAUUUGCCCAUGUUUCGUGAUGAAUAGAGCGUUUGCACAUGACGUCACAGCCGCCAUGUUGGUCACAGAAUAAAGGGUGUCUGUAAAAGCCGG